CCCCAACAGAUCCCAUUUUUUUCUGCUCGCGUUGUUUGUUUCGAACUCACGCAACGCGAGCAGAGCACUCGCUCCACACCCGCCGCUGCCGGCCGCGCACGGCCGGCCCCCCGCCCACCCACUACAACCUCCCACCGCCGCAGCCGCCGACGACGAAGGCGGCGAGGAUGAGCGGGGCUGCGCUGUGCGCGGCGCUGACGGAGCUGGGGUUCGACGGGGAGGACCCGCUGGACGCGGACGCGCUGGAGUGGCCGUUCCAGUACGAGGAGGCGCGCCCGCUGCUCGCCUGGAUCUGCUCCUGCCUCCGCCCCUCCAACGUCCUCUCCCCAUCCCACCUCGCACAGUAUGAGCAACUCGUGGAAGAGGGAAGAUUGCUAGAGGGUGAAGAUUUGGACUCUGCCUUUGAUAGUAUUUCAGCCUUUUCAAGCAAGAAAGACAACCAGGAGGCUGUUUUUGGAUCCGAAGAAACCAUUCUUGAUAUCCGCGAAGCAAAACUAGCACAUAGGGCUGAAGUUUUUGAGUUACAGAAGCAGCUUACACGGCAGCAAGCACAGUUUGAUUUGCUUGCAGGCCAAGCUUCUACUCUUAUUCAAGGUAGAAGGGCACGUUUAUCUGCUAUGUCUACAGUUAGUGGACAUCUACUAUCAUUAGAUGAGAUACUUUCUUCCAGAAACUUGGAGAUGAAUGCAGUUCUUGGAAGAAUCGCCACUACUACUCAGGAACUGGCCCAUUAUCAUUCAGGGGAUGAGGAAAGUAUAUACUUGGCAUAUUCAGAUUUCCACCCUUAUGUUGUUGGCGACUUGGCUUGCACAAAAGAGCUAAAUCGGUGGUUUUCAAAGCAAUUCGAGAAGGGUCCAUUUCGACUUGUUGCUGAGGAGGGGAAAUCGAAAUGUUCCUGGGUUAGUCUUGAUGACAUCACUAAUUGCUUGAUGAGAGGAGAUUCUGAAAAGUCUCAUCAUCAUCAACGUGUGGCUGAGUUGCAGCGACUUCGUUCCAUAUUUGCUACAAGUGAAAGACAGUGGAUUGAAGGACAAGUUGAGAAUGCUAAACAACAGGCAAUACUUUCAAUAUUAAAAUCACAAGUCUCAUCAGAUGAGGCUCAUAUACAUAGGGACAUCCAUUCUCUUAGGAGAAAAGGUUCUGAGCUUGCUGGAGAACUCUCGACACUUUCACAAAAGGUGCAGGCUUUUCUAUCUGAGACGAUACCAUGCCUCUGUUCAGAACUUGCUCAACUUCAAGGCACAUAUAUUUUGCAAGGGGAUUAUGAUUUAAAGGUCAUGCGCCAGGAAUACUAUAUUAACAGGCAAAAGACGUUCAUCAAUCACUUGGUUAAUCAGCUCGCCAGACACCAGUUUCUGAAGAUUGCUUGCCAACUUGAAAGGAAGAACAUAGCUAGUGCUUACUCAUUGCUUAGAGUAAUAGAGUCUGAGUUACAGAGCUACCUGUCAGCAGUCAAUACCCGUUUGGGCCAUUAUAAUUCAUUAAUUCAAGCUGCAUCUGAAGUAAGGGAACAAGGAGCGAUUGACGAUCGUGACACUUUCCUCCAUGCAGCGCGAGAUCUUCUAUGUAUUCACUCAAAUGUCCAAGCAACAGUGCCAACAUACAUGUCGGCACAUGCAUUAGUUCAGCAGAUAUCAGCACUUCAAUCUGACUUGCUUUCUCUUCAGUCUGAGCUGGAGAAUACCCUUCCAGCUGACAGGAAAAGAUGUAUAAAUGAGCUAUGCACUCUGAUUCAAACAGUUGAACAGCUUCUGUUUGCAUCGUCAACAACUGCAGAACCAAUAUUGACACCUUGGCCACUGAUGCGGGCACUUGAUGAUAUGGAAAACGCCAACGCUCAAGUUGAAGUUUCUGUGGAAGAAGUAACCAAGGCUCGCACCCAAAAGAUAAAGAUCUUCGAAAAUCGUGCCCAUGAGGUGGGGAGGGAGAGGCAAAUAUUCAUUGAUUUUUUCUGCAACCCCGAGCGCCUCAAGAAUCAAGUCAGAGAGCUAACCUCCCGCGUGAAAGCUCUCCAGGACUAGACUUUUUUUUUUUCUCUAAGCUGGUCUCACAUGACAAGCAAUAUGUUUUGUGUAAAGUUUUGCUCCAACAUAAAGUUGGGGUUGCUGUGCAGGGACGAUAUGGAACAACAGUAUAAACCAUCAGGGGGUCUGAUGCAGUGAUGGCUGAUGGGUUAUCCGAGCACCGGAGACUUGUUUGGAAUCUGGAUACAUUGUGAUCACCUAUAUAGGUCCAUUGGGAGAAAUUGACAGAAAAAGAGUAGCUCGUUUUUUCACUCUAGUCCACAUACCCGAAAGGAUUGGUGCUAUACUUAUCCAAGCAUGGGAAAAUUUUGGAGAGGAUGAUUCUGUUGUAGGUUUGUAACCUAACGAACAGCUGAAGCAGCCUGUGCCGUGGCUAUUGUGUUCGAGCAUGUGCCGAGUUGUCCCAUUUACCUGCUGCUUCACUUCCAGGUUACAAAAGAGUUCCUAAAAAAAGGAUUACAAGAGAAAAAAAGGUUAAAUUAACUCUACAGGAUUAAACAUCAUGCUCCGAGAGGACUAUACUGAAUUAACAUCGAAAGUCCUAAACUGAGCACAUGGCAGAUCCAAACAACUUUCUAUUCAAUCUGUAGCGGAUACAUGGCAGUACGGUACCACUGUACCAGUGGAUACAGGCAUUUCAUUUUGCACAAGGACAUGACUGAGUUAAAAAGAACCAAUGAACAUUUCAAUAUUUCCACUACCCAUACGAGUCACGAAACAUACAGACAAUUGAAGCAACCUACAGGGUGUCACAUUUACAGGGCGGGGAGCUCACUUCCGAAGGAGGCAAGCUAGGGGGCUUUCUUAUUGUUUGGGUACAAUCUUUACAGUGACCUCCCUACUUCUGGGAAUGAGGACCCGAGUCUUAUUCCAAGUUCAGUUCUCAGUAUCCUCUGGUAUCUUGAAAAGGAACUGCGGUAGUGAAGCGAUGCGGGGGAGGUUCAGCAGCAGCUCCCCGAAGGAGUCCUUUCUUGACAUUGUUGGUGGAUUGGUGGCAUCUGCAGUUUUUCCUGUUGGUGCUGAACUGAAUUCUUCGUCGGAACCAUCUGAGGCCUCCAUGCCAAUUCCAUCACUGUCAUUUGGCUCAGGCUUUGGCUUGGCAACAGGCACUGCAUCUUUCUGAAUCAAACAGCAGAGGGAGUCCACCCUAGCCAUCAGUGAUCUCUCAUCGGAGGCAGAGACAGGUGGGCCUUGUGUGUCACCAAGAAGGUACUGAGCGAUCUCCUCCAGUGUUUCUUUGGUCGGCACCUCGUUGUUGGCCAGUGCUGGAUUGCCUGAAGUGAUCUGCUCUGAGAUGCAGUUACCUAGGUGGUUUACCAAAUCAUCCACUGACAUUGAUGGCCUAAGCCCAGGCACCUUCAAUAGACUCCACCAGUAGGGGAUAUUGAACUCUGAAGCUGCACCAUUCAUAUUUCUGCUCAUAGCUUGUACACCUACAGCCCCUGCUCCUGUAAAAAUGCCUCUGGGGUUAGAAAGAUUAACCAAAAUAUGUGUUAAUGUAUCAUGUGAAAGACCUUGUAUUUCGAUUCAUCAAUAUGAGAGGACUUGAGCGUGUACAGGCUUGCCCACCAUAUAUAGGUGCAAGGUAUCCAUACACAUGUCCUCAAAAAAAAA